AUGGCAAUUGUACAUACAUACGGGAAACCUGACAUCUUCUUGACCAUGACUUGCAACCCUAAAUGGGAAGAGAUAACAAAUGAGUUGCUUCCCGGACAGACGGCGCAAGACCGACCUGAUAUUGUGGCUCGCGUGUUCUAUGGCAAACUAGAGGCUAUGAAAGAUAUGUUGCUCAAGAAGGGUCUGGGUGUUGUUGUUGCUUAUGUUUACGUAGUCGAGUUCCAGAAAAGAGGCCUC
rnacentral:rRNA from 1 species